GGUCGAUGAUGAACAGUAAAAGGUCUGAUUGCCCAGCUGUUUUGCCUACUGUACCCUCACAACUCCCAGCAUGUUCUCUUCCAUCUUGCUCUAGAAGUGCUGUGAUGGGAUCACUGUUUGCUGACAAGUAGUGAUACAUUCAGCUUGUGUUACCCUAGAGUGUUGGGUCGGCACGGCUGAAAUUGCUGUCCAACAUAAGUAGAUACAGGAGUUUGGGGCAUUGGCUCUGUGCUUGGGUGUCUGAUUUCAAAUUUUUGCUGAGACC